UCGCUACUACCGAUUGAAUGGCUUAGUGAGGCCUUUGGAUCUGCCGCCCUGUUUUUUAAGCAUGGUGGUGUGAGAAAUUGGACAAACUUGGUCAUUUAGAGGAAGUAA
rnacentral:rRNA from 1 species